rnacentral:rRNA from 1 species
UACGUAGGGGGCGAGCGUUGUCCGGAUUUAUUGGGCGUAAAGAGCUCGUAGGUGGUUCAGUAAGUCGAGUGUGAAACCUCCAGGCUCAACCUGGAGACGCCACCCGAUACUGCUGUGACUAGAGUCCAGUAGGGGAGCACGGAAUUCCUGGUGUAGCGGUGAAAUGCGCAGAUAUCAGGAGGAACACCAGUGGCGAAGGCGGUGCUCUGGGCUGGAACUGACACUGAGGAGCGAAAGCAUGGGGAGCGAACAGG